UACGUAGGGAGCAAGCGUUGUUCGGAAUUACUGGGCGUAAAGGGCUCGUAGGCGGCCAACUAAGUCGGAUGUGAAAUCCCCCAGGCUCAACUUGGGAACUGCAUCCGAUACUGGAUGGCUUGAAUCCGGGAGAGGGAUGCAGAAUUCCAGGUGUAGCGGUGAAAUGCGUAGAUAUCUGGAGGAAUACCGGUGGCGAAGGCGGCGAUUCCU
rnacentral:rRNA from 1 species